AUACAAUGGUGGAAGGCAAUGAAGCAGCAAAAAAAUCCUAGAAAUUAAAACUCAAAUUUUAAAGUAUUUUCUCAUUCUUUCAUCAUUAUCAUUUGGACUGAAUAGAAUCUGGGCUAAGGGUGGGAAGGGAGAGACAAUUGUCUCAGAUCUAUGAUGUCACAGCUGAAGUCACAGAGAGUUGAAAAGGGCAGGGUAGAUGGGGAGCAGAUGAGACGGGGUUGUUGUGAAAUGAGGCUCAAAGAGAAGAAGUUCUAGGGGGAAAUGAGUCAGGCAAAGUAUAAUGUGGGCAGCCAAACUGGGACCUAGAGCUGUCUCCAUCUUCAGCUCCAGAGUCUCUGGUUUCUGUUCAAGAACAAACGGCACAGCAUACUUUCCAAGAGCAGGAACAAAGGAUCUCCAUGCAGCAGAAUAGUUUUUCCAUUGCUGGUUCCGGGAGUGAAAGACCUUCACCAAUAGCCCAGGAAUCCACUGAUGACACCAUGCAACCAAAGGUGCUAAUGGCUUUUAGGGAUAUACAAAAGGAGCUGCAGGAAGAUGCUCGGAUUCGAGGGAUGAGCAACUGCUCCAUGAAACCCAGGUCAUCUGCAUCUGGAACUAGGCCUCCAGAUUAUGGGAUGACCCUAAAUUUGGGAAGCCCUGGAGAACAGUCAUCAAGGGCCCAGGCCCACAACCUAAAAAGAUAGUUCUCUGAUUAAUCACCUUGCUACCCUGGACGCUACCCCUACAAUCAAGAGAAGAAGGCCUGUCUGCUUCUGCCAGGUGUCUCACCCACAUGGCCUUUCUCCUGAGCUCCACCCUGCCCAUCCUUCUAUAGACAAGAAACCAGGCCUCAUGCAUCCUCACUCUAACAUGAGAGAGCAGCACCAAACCAAGCAGCUUAGGUUGCCUGAAAAAAGAAGUUAUUCGGCAGACAUCACCUCUGACCCAGAAGAGC